UCCCUUCUAAUUCAGUUGGUAAAAGAAACUGCUUGCAAUGCAGGAGACCUGGGUUCAAUCCCUGGGUAGGGAA
rnacentral:tRNA from 1 species